GACGAACGCUGGCGGCGUGCCUAAUACAUGCAAGUAGAACGCAGUUGCGAACGGGUGAGUAACGUGUAGGUAACUGCCCCAUAGCGGGGGAUAACUAUUUGAAACGAUAGCCAAUACCGCAUACUGUGAGAUGGACCUGCGUUGUAUUUGCUAGUUGGUGAGGUAAAGGCACACCAAGGCCACGAUACCUAGCCGACCUGUGAGGGGGAACGGGCAAACUGGGACUGGAACAAGGCCCCAAAUCCUAACGGAGGGAGCAGGAGGGGAUCAUCGGAAAUGGGCGGAAGUCUGACCGAGCAAAGCCGCGUGGGUGAAGGAGGUUUUCGGAUCGGAAAGCUCUGUUGAUAGAGAAGCGGUAACUAACGAGAAAGGGACGGCUAACUACGUGCCAGCAGCCGCGGUAAUUC
rnacentral:rRNA from 1 species